UCACAGUUGGUGUCAAGGGUGGGAUUCUCUAGCGUGACCCUGACUCACCGAAACAUGAUUUGAGAAGAAGAAUGAGAGGGCUGAGGCUGAAGAACCUUUGACUCCUGAAUGACUACCUGGUCACCUAUGGUAUGGAACUACAGGUUUUAUCUACUACAAAGGAUAUCACUUGGGAAGGAAUUUCUUGAAACUGCUCCCAAGAGAGCCAUUGGACCAUGUGGUAAACAACUCCUAGCUGAUGGAUUAUUGGGAAUAUUAACAUCAUCCAGAAUGCUAUGGGGAGAAGACAACUGGAAGCUCCGUGUGGACAAACCUCCUGGACUCUGCCCCACAUAUCUCUUCCCUUGGCUGAUUUGAAUUUAAGCUGACAGCUGACACGCCCUUCCUUUGUGCAUUUUAUCCUGGGACAAAAUGAGAAGACAUCCUUCAGUUCCCAUCUUGGAUGGCAUAACUUCAAAACCAAGGGAGAUGGAGGAGUUUUAGAGGAGUAGAAGGCUGCAAGCAAGAACUGAUGCAUUACAUCUCCAGUCACCUCACUCUAAGAUUGUCCUGUAGCUAAGACUGUUGAAUGAGACUGUUGUUCUUCAGUUUGCAGCCACAAAGCACGGAGGCAUCUCCCCAAGAAUCCACUGCAGGGAGGAUGAACAGCCCUUACCUGGAUUUUUGCUUUAUCUAAAAAUAUAUUUGUAGAAGAAGGAGCAUUCUAGUUUCCAAAUACAAAGGGCAAUCUCCUUCUCUGUGUGUGCACGUGCAAACAAACACACUUCUACAAGUAAGCAUUCUUCUUUAUUAUCAUAGUCAUCAUCAUCACUGGGUUGGCAACUAAAAACAAAACUACAAAACUCUCAUGUUAGCAGUUGAGUAACUUUUAAUAACCAGAUACAAACCAUUCUUCAUUGUUUACAAGGGGCAUUAAAAAGAAAAGGAGGUUGAACUGCAAUGUGAAGUGUAGUUAAAUAUGUAGACAUCUUGGAUUCUAGAAGAGUUUGUAAUGGAUUAAAGGGUUAAG
rnacentral:lncRNA from 1 species